GUAGGUGGCAAGCGUUGUCCGGAAUUAUUGGGCGUAAAGCGCGCGCAGGCGGUUCUUUAAGUCUGAUGUGAAAGCCCACGGCUCAACCGUGGAGGGUCAUUGGAAACUGGAGAACUUGAGUACAGAAGUGGAAAGCGGAAUUCCACGUGUAGCGGUGAAAUGCGUAGAGAUGUGGAGGAACACCAGUGGCGAAGGCGGCUUUCUGGUCUGUAACUGACGCUGAGGCGCGAAAGCGUGGGGAGCAAACAGGGAUUAGAUACCCUGGUAGUCCACGCCGUAAACGAUGAGUGCUAAGUGUUAGGGGGGUUUCCGCCCCCUUAGUGCUGCAGCUAACGCAUUAAGCACUCCGCCUGGGGAGUACGGCCGCAAGGCUG
rnacentral:rRNA from 1 species